GCAAGUCGAACGAGAAGCACCUUCGGGUGUGGAAAGUGGCGAAAGGGCGAGUAAUGCGAUCGAAUGUACCCCGAGGUGGGGGAUAGCGUCGAGAAAUCGGCGGUAAUACCCCAUGUCCUCUACGGAGAAAAGGUUUACCGCCUUGGGAGCAGCGAUCGUCCUAUCAGGUAGUUGGUGAGGUAACGGCUCGCCAAGCCGAAGACGGGUAGCGGGUGUGAGAGCAUGACC
rnacentral:rRNA from 1 species